rnacentral:rRNA from 1 species
GACGAACGCUGGCGGCGUGCUUAACACAUGCCAGUCGAACGAUGAACCCGGAGCUUGCUCUGGGGGAUUAGUGGCGAACGGGUGAGUAACACGUGAGUAACCUGCCCUGGACUCUGGGAUAAGCGUUGGAAACGACGUCUAAUACCGGAUAGGACCUUGGAUCGCAUGAUCUGGGGUGGAAAGUUUUUUCGGUCUGGGAUGGACUCGCGGCCUAUCAGCUUGUUGGUGAGGUAAUGGCUCACCAAGGCGUCGACGGGUAGCCGGCCUGAGAGGGUGACCGGCCACACUGGGACUGAGACACGGCCCAGACUCCUACGGGAGGCAGCAGUGGGGAAUAUUGCACAAUGGGCGAAAGCCUGAUGCAGCAACGCCGCGUGCGGGAUGACGGCCUUCGGGUUGUAAACCGCUUUUAGUAGGGAAGAAGGGCUUCGGCUUGACGGUACCUGCAGAAAAAGGACCGGCUAACUACGUG